rnacentral:misc_RNA from 1 species
AAAAUGCGAUAAGUAGUGUGAAUUGCAGAAUUCAGUGAAUCAUCGAAUCUUUGAACGCACAUUGCGCCCCUCGGUAUUCCGUGGGGCAUGCCUGUUCGAGCGUCAUCUACACCCUCAAGCUCUGCUUGGUGUUGGGCGUCUGUCCCGCCUCCGCGCGCGGACUCGCCCCAAAUGCAUUGGCAGCGGUUCCUUGCCCCCCUCUUUGCGCAGCACAUUGCCAUUCGAGGCGGCGGCGGCCCGCGUCCAACAAGCUCAACCCCCCCGUCUUUGACCUCGGAUCAGGUAGGGAUACCCGCUGAACUUAAGC